GCCUUGCUAGCUCAAUCGGUAGAGUGUGAGACUCUCAAUCUCAAGGUUGGGGGUGUUCGACCCCCUCGUGGGGCU
rnacentral:tRNA from 1 species